UGGAAGUAGCCAUACCAACUCUAAGAGGCUAAUUAAUCAUCUUAAUUAAUUAGCCUCUUACAGUU